rnacentral:rRNA from 1 species
AAUCAACGCUGGCGGCGUGCCUCAGACAUGCAAGUCGAACGCGAAAUUUCCCUUCGGGGAGAAAGUAGAGUGGCGCACGGGUGAGUAACACGUAGGUAAUUUGCCUUUGGGUUGGGGAAGUAACUCAGGGAAACUUGAGCUAAUACCGCAUAAUGCAGCGGCAUCGCAAGAUGACAGUUGUUAAAGAUUUAUCGCUUGAAGAGGAGCUUGCGGCAGAUUAGCAGUUGGUAAGGUAAUGGCUUACCAAGCUACGAUCUGUAACCGGUCUAAGAGGACGGUCGGUC